UGUUAACCAGACACAUAUGUGGAUGCCUA
rnacentral:piRNA from 1 species